CGAAGCACUUAGGACGGAUUACUUCGGCUUGAAGUUCUAUUUGACUGAGUGGCGGACGGGUGAGUAACGCGUGGGUAACCUGCCUCAUACAGGGGGAUAACAGUUAGAAAUGACUGCUAAUACCGCAUAAGCGCACGGAAUCGCAUGGUUUUGUGUGAAAAACUUUGGUGGUAUGAGAUGGACCCGCGUCUGAUUAGCUGGUUGGUGAGGUAACGGCCCACCAAGGCGACGAUCAGUAGCCGGCCUGAGAGGGUGAACGGCCACAUUGGGACUGAGACACGGCCCAAACUCCUACGGGAGGCAGCAGUGGGGAAUAUUGCACAAUGGGGGAAACCCUGAUGCAGCGACGCCGCGUGAAGGAAGAAGUAUUUCGGUAUGUAAAGCUCUAUCAGCAGGAAAGAAAAUGACGGUACCUGACUAAGAAGCCCCGGCUAACUACGUGCCAGCAGCCGCGGUAAUACGUAGGGGGCAAGCGUUAUCCGGAUUUACUGGGUGUAAAGGGAGCGUAGACGGUGAAGCAAGUCUGAAGUGAAAGGCGGGGGCUCAACCCCCGGACUGCUUUGGAAACUGUUUGACUGGAGUGCAGGAGAGGUAAGUGGAAUUCCUAGUGUAGCGGUGAAAUGCGUAGAUAUUAGGAGGAACACCAGUGGCGA
rnacentral:rRNA from 1 species